AUGGACAUGAGGGCCCCUGCUCAGCUCCUUGGCCUCCUGCUGCUCUGGCUCCCAGGUGCCAGGUGUGACAUCCAGAUGACCCAGUCUCCAUCCACCCUGUCUGUGUCUCUAGGAGAUAGAGUCACCAUCACUUGCCGGGCAAGUCAGAGCAUUAGUGGUUGGUUAGCCUGGUACCAGCAGAAACCAGGGAAAGCUCCCAUGCCCCUGAUCUAUGCAGCAUCCACUUUGCAAACUGGGGUCCCUUCAAGGUUCAGUGGCAGUGGAUCUGGGACAGAAUUCACUCUCACCAUCAGCAGCCUGGAGCCUAAAGAAGUUGCUACUUAUUACUGUCAACAGGAUAGUAGUAGCCCUCCCACAGUGUUACAAGCCGGAACAUAA